GUGUUAUAUUCCUUAAUUUCAAUUAUAUCGAUUCAUAUAACUUUUAUAUAUAUACCAAAUAUCGUUUUCAGUCAAUUUUUCUGUUGUUUAGAGUCAUUUUACUGAAUAUAAAAUAGGUUUCAGUAAGUCAUCGAACCUAUAUCAAGAGAUCAAAUAUGCAUGGUAUAAUAUUACCAUAUAAAAAAGCUUAUGAUUCAGCAUAAUACGAGGAAACAUUAAUUCGUUGUCACUACAGUUGACUGACAUCGAAUAUAACAAAUGAACUUCACAGAAAUCACCAUUGUUUUCUGCUCUGAAAGAAAAAAAAUUGACAAAGACAAAUGGGGCUCCUGCAAGGCAAAAACUACAGGUGAUAAUAGUUCAGUCCACCUGACCUGAACAACUUCAGGUUGAAGUGGAGUUAGAGUGAAUGCUUUUUUUUUCCUUCAGUUCUCUCUUUCCCCGAGGGUACAGCGAGAGAGAGACCUUGAAAGAAAGGCGUGUGUCAUUGCUAUUGUAGACGAUACAAACAGAAACCACCUUGGUGUUUCGUGUCCUUUUGCAAUCGUCCUUCCUUUUUCUAUUGUCUGAUCAAGUGAAGAACUGAAUGGUGCAGAUGUCUUUCAGGGGUGUUUGUGAAUUAAGAAAACAACCUACAAAAGGAAGCAAAAACUUGUUUUUUGAAUAUUUACUUACGCCUACUUUUAUUUAACAAUCUGUUAUCUUAACUGAAUUGUAAGCUCCGGUACGACAUUGAUAAAUUGUUUAAAAUUAACUUAUUCGAUAGAUUUAUAUUUGUUUAUCUAGAAGCCAUUCUAAUCGCAUGACUACCAAGUGAUUAGUAUCGACUUUGCUACCCAUUUUAGUCGUAAUAAUAAGGCGCAGAGAGGUAUUAACGGAAACUCGAGGCGGCAGAAAGACGUCAGCAGAAAAUCCCUCUAAUUUUAACCGUUAUUUAUCGAUGGCAAUAGAAACAGACAAUUACUGUUUGUUUCUGUAACAGAAUGGCAUCGUUUCGUAUCUCAGGUCUGGACGGCAGUGAAUAAAUUACACUCAAGGUAAAUGGGAGGAGUUUAGGGGAGUAUAAGUAUCAUAAAAUACCAGAAUAAUAACAUCUCCGUGUUUACAGAGAUCUAACGAGUUCAGUCAUCCGAAUUAGAGAUUAGAUUAGGAAUAUCUGGUUACUGAAGAUGUGCAGGAAGGUGAAGACACCGCUUCCUGUUCUGUCAUAUUUCACUCCGUGACACGUGCUGAUAAUCGUCCCUUAAGCCGUGCUAUAUAUGGGGGCGUCUAUUUGUCUGUACCUAAGUCAUCAUUGGGGUUUGGUACUUGGGGAGAUGAUUAGAAUCGACAAAAAUUCGAGAUUUUCCAAUUACUCUCGUUUAAAUCUAGCGCUAAGAGGUGAAGUGUCAUGUACAGGAUAGAAGAAGCAGAUGUGGGGGAAAGUAAAGCGCUAAUAACAAAGCAUUGUUCAUUGAAUAAAAUCUUAACAGCCGAAAGUGAGUAUCGGGUUUCGUACGUGAGUCAGCGUACGGUAAAGGUUCGUGAUUCAUGUAGGCGACUAGAUCGGCGAUAGGCACGAUCAUCCGUUUUUUUUCUAUUUAUUAUAAAACACCUGUGUAAAUUUGCAUAAGUAUCUCACGAAGUUUUUCAUAAAUAGGUCACUUCGGAAAGCGAAUUUUUAAAGAAAAUACUUAACCUUAUAUACCACACCCCGAUGAAAGCACUUGCCAAAAUAAACACGGAACAGUUAUGAGCAUGCCUGUUAGAGGUAAUGUUCUAAUGUUACAUCACAUUUAGGAUACUGAACGAUUGCUGAACAUAUGUUUAUAUAUGCUAACGCAGAGAAGAGCAGGGAUGUUUACCGCCUCGCAAUCGUUAUACUUAACGUCUUGGCAUGAUGAUAAUGUACUACUAAACAGACAAAGGUUGCGCAUAAGAGUGUUCAUCAGUCAUGCUAUAUUUAGAGGAGCAGGAAAUGAGGUAACACUCAAUGUAUUUGCUGAAAGUGGGACUCGUUUCUGUAUACUGUUGAUAGCCAACUGUUCUAUUUUGGCCAUUUUAGUAACUAGUAACCGGAUCACUUCUCGCACGCGUUCGAUUUAUCGGCAUACAGUAUAUUGAUUGUGACUCUUGGCAACAUCUGAUGUAUCGACUAAUACCUCGACUCUUGUCACUAGUCCAUAUGGCGUCACCUGCUCCAAACUAAUGGCGCUCUUAACAACAUCCAGAUAAGAAAUUUUUAUCAUUCUGGCUCCUGUUUUAUCUCGCCAAAACCACUACACUUUAUCCGUAUCUAUAGUAUCGCUAAUAAUCCAUUACCAGAUACAAGUAGAGGGAUUUUUUUGGAAGCAGAAAUGUGCCUUAGGAUGCACAUUUUUGUUCUCCAUCACAGCUAUGAGUCAAUCCACGUGUUUGAAUUUUCUGUUGUUGCUAUACCGGGAACUACAUUUUUAUAUUUUUAUAAUUGAAAUGUUUAUAUUUUAUUUAUAGAACAAUAUUAAUUUCUGAAAUUGCGAGUAAUCAUUCGACAUAAAAGCUAGCAAAAACGGAAAGACACUCUUCAGGAGGUUCUGACGAACUGCAGGAGUCAUCGCCACCAACGGUGGCUAUUUAUAUUUGACAAAUGAAGCGAUGCAGGAAACAUAUUUCCGUCGUUUUGUCAUUCAGCACUUUUUGAUGCUAGUAAAACUAUACUAAUAAAUAUUGUUAGCGAAUUCGUAAGGCGGAAGAGAUCAGUCAAGCAACUUGAAGGAAGAUUAAUCCGGAAAACGGCUUCCGUGCGAAUAGGAAACUACUUUUUUUAUCAUUAGUUCUUGUUUCCCAUAAGGUUGGGUGAUGAAUCAACUUGUAGUCUUUUUUUUUUUUUCCUCUCUUCCUUUUUACGUGGGUUGAAAGUUCGUAUUUAAUGUAGGAG
rnacentral:lncRNA from 1 species